GCCGAGGUGGCGGAAUUGGUAGACGCGUAGGUCUCAAAAACCUAUGGUAGCAAUAUCAUGCGGGUUCGAUUCCCGCCCUCGGCA
rnacentral:tRNA from 1 species